rnacentral:rRNA from 1 species
AGUGAAUAGAUACCCUGGUAGUCCUGGCCCUAAACGAUGAAUGCUUGGUGUGGCGGGUAUCGAUCCCUGCCGUGCCGAAAGCUAACGCAUUAAGCAUUCCGCCUGGGGAGUACGGUCGCAAGGCUGAAACUCAAAGGAAAUUGACGGGGGCCCGGCCACAAGCGGUGGAGCAUGUGGUUUAAUUUCGACGCAACGCGAAGAGCCUUACCCCACGGCUUGAACUGCAGAUGACAUCCUACGAAAGUAGGCUUCCGCAAGGACAUCUGUAGAGGUGCUGCAUGGCUGUCGUCAGCUCGUGUCGUGAGAUGUUUGGGUUUAAGUCCCGCAACGAGCGCAACCCCUUGUCUUCUGUUGCCAUCGGGGUUUAUGCCGGGGCACUCUGAAGAGACUGCCGGUGACAAACCGGGAGGAAGGUGGGGAUGACGUCAAGUCAGCAUGGCCUUUUAUGUCUGGGGCCACACACGUGCUACAAUGGCAGGUACAAACCGUCGCGAGACCGC